rnacentral:rRNA from 1 species
CCUACGGGCGGCAGCAGUGGGGAAUAUUGGACAAUGGGGGCAACCCUGAUCCAGCCAUGCCGCGUGUGUGAAGAAGGCCCUCGGGUUGUAAAGCACUUUCAGUGAGGAAGAACGCCUGGUGGUUAAUACCCAUCAGGAAAGACAUCACUCACAGAAGAAGCACCGGCUAACUCCGUGCCAGCAGCCGCGGUAAUACGGAGGGUGCGAGCGUUAAUCGGAAUUACUGGGCGUAAAGCGCGCGUAGGUGGCUUGAUAAGCCGGUUGUGAAAGCCCCGGGCUCAACCUGGGAACGGCAUCCGGAACUGUCAAGCUAGAGUGCAGGAGAGGAAGGUAGAAUUCCCGGGGUAGCGGUGAAAUGCGUAGAGAUCGGGAGGAAUACCAGUGGCGAAGGCGGCCUUCUGGACUGACACUGACACUGAGGUGCGAAAGCGUGGGUAGCAAACAGGAUUAGAUACCCCAGUAGUC